GGCGACCGGCCACACUGGAACCGAGACACGGUCCAGACUCCUACGGGAGGCAGCAGUGGGGAAUAUUGCACAAUGGGCGCAAGCCUGAUGCAGCAACGCCGCGUGGGGGAUGAAGGCCUUCGGGUUGUAAACCCCUUUUAGCAGGGAAGAAGCGAAAGUGACGGUACCUGCAGAAAAAGCGCCGGCUAACUACGUGCCAGCAGCCGCGGUAAUACGUAGGGCGCAAGCGUUGUCCGGAAUUAUUGGGCGUAAAGAGCUCGUAGGCGGUUUGUCGCGUCUGCUGUGAAAGUCCGAGGCUCAACCUCGGAUCUGCAGUGGGUACGGGCAGACUAGAGUGUGGUAGGGGAGACUGGAAUUCCUGGUGUAGCGGUGGAAUGCGCAGAUAUCAGGAGGAACACCAAUGGCGAAGGCAGGUCUCUGGGCCAUAACUGACGCUGAGGAGCGAAAGCGUGGGGAGCAAACAGGAUUAGAUACCCUGGUAGUCCACGCCGUAAACGGUGGGCACUAGAUGUGGGGCUCUUUCCAUGAGUUCCGCGUCGCAGCUAACGCAUUAAGUGCCCCGCCUGGGGAGUACGGCCGCAAGGCUAAAACUCAAAGGAAUUGACGGGGGCCCGCACAAGCGGCGGAGCAUGCGGAUUAAUUCGAUGCAACGCGAAGAACCUUACCAAGGCUUGACAUAUACGGUCUAUCCCUAGAGAUAGGGAGUGCUUCGGCGCCGUAUACAGGUGGUGCAUGGUUGUCGUCGGCUCGUGUCGUGAGAUGUUGGGUUAAGUCCCGCAACGAGCGCAACCCUCGUUCUAUGUUGCCAGCGCGUAAUGGCGGGGACUCAUAGGAGACUGCCGGGGUCAACUCGGAGGAAGGUGGGGAUGACGUCAAAUCAUCAUGCCCCUUAUGUCUUGGGCUUCACGCAUGCUACAAUGGCCGGUACAAAGGGCUGCGAUACCGCAAGGUGGAGCGAAUCCCAAAAAGCCGGUCUCAGUUCGGAUUGAGGUCUGCAACUCGACCUCAUGAAGUCGGAGUCGCUAGUAAUCGCAGAUCAGCAACGCUGCGGUGAAUACGUUCCCGGGCCUUGUACACACCGCCCGUCAAGUCACGAAAGUCGGUAACACCCGAAGCCGGUGGCCUAACCCGUAAGGGGAGGAGCCGUCUAAGGUGGGAUUGGCGAUUGGGACUAAGUCGUAACAAGGUAGCCGUACCGGAAGGUGCGGCUG
rnacentral:rRNA from 1 species